rfam:Trichuris suis scaffold43.3, whole genome shotgun sequence.
GUGCUUGAACAUCAAGAGUAAGGAAAUGAUAAACUCAGACGUGACUGUUUGGGUGAAGUGACGAUGUCACGAUGAAUUUUUGGAAGGGUAGUGGUCUCCCUCGGCGGGUAGCCUACGUUUGCUAUCUGCCGGUAGUGCGAGAUCAUCCCU